rnacentral:rRNA from 1 species
ACGCUCGACACCUACGGGAGGCAGCAGUCGGGAAUAUUGCGCAAUGGAGGAAACUCUGACGCAGUGACGCCGCGUGCAGGAAGAAGGUUUUCGGAUUGUAAACUGCUUUAGACAGGGAAGAAUAAUGACAGUACCUGUAGAAUAAGCUCCGGCUAACUACGUGCUAGCAGCCGCGGUAAUCUGAGCGGGCUGGCAAGGC